rnacentral:lncRNA from 1 species
GGCGGCGAGGGCGCCCUCAGUGCGGGAGUGCGGCGGGCUCCGCAGGGUUGGCUUUCUUUCUCCUCUUCAUCAGCAAAGGGUUGGAGGAAUCCUCGAUUUUCUUGAUCUUGAUUUGUUCGUAGUCCACUCGCAUGGUGGCCAGAGCGCUCGUCAUCUCCUCCUUCACAUCCUCCCAUAGAUCCUUCUCCUCCUUCAGCACACGGCUGGUGUGCAGUGGGGUCUGGGGCACCUGCAUGGAUUGCAUGAUCCAGGGGUGGUUCAUGAACUCUGUUAUCGUCAUGCGUUGAGUUGGGUCCGUCUUCAGCAGGUUGCGGAUCAGCUGCUUCACUUCCUCUGACACUUCCGACCACUCAGGGUUGGGAAACUCAUACUGGCCCAUGCGGAUUCGCUUCUUCAUGCCAGGGGAGAUGGCGAGGCCAUGGUUGGAGUAGAAUGGGGGGUACCCACACAGCAGAAUAUACAUGAUGACGCCGAGGGACCACAUGUCACAGGAUUUAUCGUACUUCUCCGGGCCCAGCACCUCGGGGGCCACAUAGUACGGCGUGUAGCACGGAGUGGCCAAGGAGUUGUGUGUGGUGGUUUCUUUAGCAAAGCCAAAGUCAGUGAGUUUUAACACAGCAUUGGGCCUUUUGGAGGUGUACAAGAGGUUUUCUGGCUUCACAUCCCGGUGCGCGAUGUUGAUUGAAUGCAGGUAUUGGAUGGCUUCCCCAAUGCUUUUCAUUAUCUCUGAGGCCUCCCGUUCCGUGAAGGCCUGGUCUCCCCUGUCCUGGAUCCGGCUGAAGAGUUCCCCACCAUCCAAGCACUCCAUGACAAUGAGCAGACACUUUCUCCCCUGGUAGAGGUUCUCAUAGACGUCCAUGAUGCGGACAAUGUGUGCACACUGCGACGCCCUCCAGUGCAGCUCCACUUCCCUGCGCGCCUUGGGGCAAUCCUGCAGCAUCUUAAGGGCGAACUUCUCCCCGCUCUUCUUGCUGAAGAUCUCCAAAACUUUCCCGUUGAUGCCGAGCCCCAACACUUGCGUGGUGACCUUGUAGUCGUCCGUGAUGGCAUUCUUCCGGAUCUGCAGGCCGCCCUUCACGGGGAACGGAGGGAACUGCGGCGGCGGCGGCGGCCCGUGGGGAGCGGCGGGCGGCGGGGGCGGCGGCGGCUGCGGCGGCGGAGGGCUGGGA